CAUGCAGGCGGUUACAUAAGUCAGGUGUGAAAUCCCCGCGCUUAACGUGGGCAUUGCAUUUGAAACUAUGUAGCUAGAGUUCUGUAGAGGGGGGUAGAAUUCCAGGUGUAGCAGUGAAAUGCGUAGAGAUGUGGAGGAAUACCGAUGGCGAAGGCAGCCCCCUGGGACUGUACUGACGCUCAUGCACGAAAGCGUGGGGAUCAAACAGGAUUAGAUACCCCCGUA
rnacentral:rRNA from 1 species